GACGAACCGUGCGAACGUUGUUCGGAAUCACUGGGCUUAAAGGGCGCGUAGGCGGACUGCCGCGUCCGGGGUGAAAUCCCACGGCUCAACCGUGGAACGGCCCCGGGUACGGGCGGCCUCGAGGGGGGUAGGGGCGUGCGGAACUGUGGGUGGAGCGGUGAAAUGCGUUGAUAUCCACAGGAACUCCGGUGGCGAAGGCGGCACGCUGGACCCCUUCUGACGCUGAGGCGCGAAAGCCAGGGGAGCGAACGGG
rnacentral:rRNA from 1 species